UGGGGAAUAUUGGACAAUGGGCGCAAGCCUGAUCCAGCAAUGCCGCGUGAGUGAUGAAGGCCUUAGGGUUGUAAAGCUCUUUUUACCCGGGAAGAUAAUGACUGUACCGGGAGAAUAAGCCCCGGCUAACUCCGUGCCAGCAGCCGCGGUAAUACGGAGGGGGCUAGCGUUGUUCGGAAUUACUGGGCGUAAAGGGCUCGUAGGCGGCCAACUAAGUCAGACGUGAAAUCCCUCGGCUUAACCGGGGAACUGCGUCUGAUACUGGAUGGCUUGAGGUUGGGAGAGGGAUGCGGAAUUCCAGGUGUAGCGGUGAAAUGCGUAGAUAUCUGGAGGAACACCGGUGGCGAAGGCGACAUCCUGGACCAAUUCUGACGCUGAGGAGCGAAAGCCAGGGGAGCAAACGGGAUUAGAUACCCACGUAGUCCCUGAGCGGGCUGGCAAGGCGCAU
rnacentral:rRNA from 1 species